UACGGGGGGGGCAAGCGUUGUUCGGAAUUACUGGGCGUAAAGGGCCCGUAGGCGGCCAACUAAGUCGGAUGUGAAAUCCCCAGGCUUAACCUGGGAACUGCAUCCGAUACUGGAUGGCUUGAAUUCGGGAGAGGGAUGCAGAAUUCCAGGUGUAGCGGUGAAAUGCGUAGAUAUCGAGAGGAACACCUGCGGCGAAGGCGGGUUGCUGGGCUGACACUGACGCUGACAGCGCGAAAGCUAGGGGAGCGAACGGG
rnacentral:rRNA from 1 species